rnacentral:rRNA from 1 species
GUCCACGCUGUAAACGCUGUCAACUAGCUGUUGGUCAUAUAGAUAUGAUUGGUGGCGCAGCUAACGCGUUAAGUUGACCGCCUGGGGAGUACGGUCGCAAGAUUAAAACUCAAAGGAAUUGACGGGGGCCCGCACAAGCGGUGGAGCAUGUGGUUUAAUUCGAUGCAACGCGAAGAACCUUACCUACCCUUGACAUACAAAGAAUUCUGCAGAGAUGCGGGAGUGCCUUCGGGAGCUUUGUUACAGGUGCUGCAUGGCU